UUAACUCAAAUUUGUAUGGAGUUGGACAGGGUUCCUACGUUUGCCGCUAGGGGCGCUGUUCCAACUCCAUACAAAUUUGAGUUA
rnacentral:pre_miRNA from 1 species